CAGAGAUGGGCUCUUAAGUUUCUUGGAAAUGAGUAAUUAAGCAUAAAUAAGCAUAAAAAUGACUUAUCAACUAAAGAAAUCUUAGUUGACUGAUACCAAAACCACAGAUUAGUCGACUAAUCAACUAAGAGGGGACAGCCCUAGUA